rnacentral:rRNA from 1 species
GAUGAACGCUGGCGGCGUGCCUAACACAUGCAAGUCGAGCGGACGGACGAGGCUUUUGCUUGUCUGAUGUUAGGGGCGGGCGGGUGAGUCACAUGAGUAUACCCCACCUAUAUGACUGGGAUCACUUCGGGAAAGCGGAUACAACACCGGAUAAGAUUUUGAACCGCAUGGUUCAUAGGAGAAAUUCGGCCUUGCUGUCACUUAUAGAUGGUUCCGGGCUGGAUUGGCUAGUUGGUAGGGUAACGGCUUUCCAAGGCUAGGAUGCGUAGCCGACCUGAGAGGGUGAUCGGCCACACGGGAGCUGAGACACGGUCCAGACUCCUACGGGAGGCAGCAGUAGGGAAUCUUCGGCAAUGGGCGAAAGCCUGACGGAGCGACGCCGCGUGUGUGAUGAAGGUCUUCGGAUCGUGAAGCUCUGUUAUUGGGGAAGAACAGCUGUGGAAUGAGACGUAGACGUCUUGACGGUACCUAGUCAAGAAGCACCGGCUAACUACGUG